rnacentral:miRNA from 1 species
UGUGUGUACCCACUGUGUUAAUAAAAGUAAUAUCUCACUAGGAUAUUAUGAAUAAUAUCACAGUGAGUGUACACACAGGGUGU